GCACAGCCUCGAAGUUUACCUGGCUGAGAGGACAUACGAUCAGUUUAAUUCUUAUCAGAGACCUGAUGUAUAGAAGGUGAAGCUGGACUGGGCUCAGAGGAAGAAUGCAGAAAACAAGGGAGCCCAUUAGGUCCAAGAGCAGAGGUUAAUUCUAACAAGCAGCGUGUAGAAGUGGAAGGUCCCACAGCAUCUGAAGUCCAGGCAUUCCUUGGGCAAAGACUUGUCUGGAUGUGAGGGACCACUCAAAAUGACAAGACUGCUGCAAGAAGGUGCAGCCGGGGCUAAGUGCAAAGUGAUGGACUACAGACAACAACACUCACAAUCACUCUGAGAUGUCCACCCAGGCCAGGACCAUGCGGCUGCCAGGGCGGUGAGGAGCCCAACCACCAGAGUACAACUUGAGGGAGCAGC